UACAGAGGUCUCAAGCGUUUGUUCGGAUUCAUUGGGCGUAAAGGGUGUGUAGGUGGCGCGCUAAGUCGGGUGUGAAAUUUCGGAGCUUAACUCCGAAACUGCAUUCGAUACUGGCGUGCUUGAGGACUGGAGAGGAGACUGGAAUUUACGGUGUAGCGGUGAAAUGCGUAGAUAUCGUAAGGAAGACCAGUGGCGAAGGCGGGUCUCUGGACAGUUCCUGACGCUGAGGCACGAAGGUCAGGGGAGCAAACGGG
rnacentral:rRNA from 1 species